rnacentral:ncRNA from 1 species
GGGUGUCCGCUGCAUGCAGCAGUGACAGGUCAAGCGAUGGUCGGGCCGCCACG